rnacentral:misc_RNA from 1 species
GGCAAUUUCCUUUUCAUGCCUCUCUCGCGCAAUUGCACAAACAUAUGGGAGACGUUUUAUUAGCCAGAAUGGGCAUUUAAUCCUACCAUCAUUUUGGGUUACUGUUUAACUCUUCUCGAUCUUUUACGUGACCAUACCCCCAUUUACUCGUCAAUUCCCAUAAAACUCAUCAAUUACACGUGCCAAUUCAAGCUCCUGGGAACUCAAUAGUAUCUGGGCAAUGCUUCCUCUCUCACCCGCCAUUGGCGCUUGGACUAAUGAAGCUUUUGUCGUGUGAAACCACCCCAUUCUCACUCUUUGCAUUUCAAACCCAAUCUCCCGUCUUCCGCAUUUUGACAUCUUUUCUUGAGCCACCACUUCUACUCCUUUCUUUCUCCUCCCACUGAUUCCAGUCGAAUUUUAACAGGUUCUUUCCUUAACUGGAAACCCGUUUCUGUUUUAAUUGUUUCCUUGUUAAUUACUUGGUCAACCCACUGAGAUCUAUACCAACAAACGGGGAAAAAUAGCCCCUUUGAUGCAGCUUGUGCUCCGAACCCAAAGUUAGCGUUUUCGCAAUUUGGGAAUUUUUAUCAUGUCCGGGGCGGGUCACGCCGUCGAGCACCGUGUUGGGUUGCCGGAGCUGGAUACAAACCCCAACCGCUCCGGUUGUUGCAACCCGGUUAAGAAAUCGGGUCCUAUAUCAAUGGAUCAUGUCCUGUUGGCAUUGCGGGAAACCAAAGAAGAGAGGGAUGUUAGAUUACGGAGUCUGUUUAAUUUCUUUGACGCCUCGAAUACUGGAUACUUGGAUUACGCGCAGAUCGAGGCAGGAUUAUCGGCGCUGCAGAUUCCGGCGGAGUAUAAAUACGCUAAGGAUUUGUUGAAGGUUUGCGAUGCGAAUAGGGAUGGACGGGUAGAUUAUCAGGAGUUUAGGAGGUAUAUGGACGAUAAAGAGCUGGAGCUGUACCGGAUUUUUCAGGCUAUUGAUGUGGAACACAACGGGUGCAUUUUGCCUGAAGAGUUAUGGGAUGCGCUUGUCAAGGCUGGGAUUUCGAUGAUGAGGAGCUUGCCCGUUUUGUGGAGCAUGUUGAUAAGGAUAAUAAUGGAAUUAUAACUUUUGAAGAAUGGAGAGAUUUUCUUUUGCUUUAUCCACAUGAAGCUACAAUUGAAAACAUAUACCAUUACUGGGAAAGGGUAUGCCUCGUAGAUAUUGGAGAGCAAGCUGUUAUUCCAGAAGGCAUCAGUGAGCAUGUUAAUAGGAGUAAAUAUUUUAUUGCAGGGGGAAUAGCAGGAGCUGCCUCUCGUACUGCAACUGCUCCUCUUGAUCGCUUGAAGGUGGUUUUGCAAGUUCAGACAACACAUGCUCGCCUUGUUCCUGCUAUAAAGAAGAUAAGGAAGAAAGAUGGUUUCUUGGGUUUCUUUCGUGGUAAUGGAUUAAAUGUUGUGAAGGUGGCACCUGAAAGUGCUAUCAAGUUUUAUUCUUAUGAACUGUUAAAGAAUGUUAUUGCGGAUUUUAAGGGGGUAGAAAAGGAUAGUAUAGGUCCUGUUGAGAGACUUUUUGCUGGUGCCACUGCACCAGCCAUCCC